GACGAACGCUGGCGGCGUGCCUAAUACAUGCAAGUAGAACGCAGUUGCGAACGGGUGAGUAACGCGUAGGUAACUGCCUGGUAGCGGGGGAUAACUAUUGGAACCGAUAGCUAAUACCGCAUACUACCAGAUGGACCUGCGGUGUAUUAGCUAGUUGGUGAGGUAACGGCCCAACAAGGCAACCAUACAUAGCCGACCUGGAGGGGUGAUCGGCCAAACAGGGACCGAGAAACGGCCCAGACUCCUACGGGAGGCAGCAGUAGGGAAUCUUCGGCAAUGGGGGGAAACCUGACCGAGCAACGCCGCGUGAGUGAAGAAGGUGUUCGGAUCGUAAAGCUCUGUUGUUAAGGAAGCGGUACUUAACCAGAAAGGGACGGCUAACUACGUGCCAGCCGCCGCGGUAAUUC
rnacentral:rRNA from 1 species